rnacentral:snRNA from 1 species
AUACUUACAUGGCAGUGGAGAUACCAUGAUCAGGAAGGUGGUUUUCCCAGGGUGAGGCUUAUUCAUUGUACUCCAGAUGUGCUGACCCCUGCAAUUUCCCCAAAUGCGGGAAACUUGACUGCAUAAUUCAUGGUAAUGGGGGGAGAGGGUCAAAGAAAUUGGUCCUCAAGUGAAAUUCUCCCUUG